rnacentral:lncRNA from 1 species
GUAUUCUUUCACACUAGCUGGCCUUAUGUUAUCUGCAGUUUCGAGGUGCACUGUCACACUCUGUGGUGGAUAACAUCCACUCUUCGUUUAUGUAAUGGGCUGUAAGACACAGGUAUCCUAUUUUUCGAAAAUCGUCAGUCCACAUGUCAAGUGUAAUUGCGCCAUUGCAUCAACCCCUACAAAUAUAUUCUAAUGUAUUAUAAUGCACAUAAUAAUUCAAAUAAAAUUUGCUGUAGCUAUAGGAGAGAGACUGCAUGCUAAAGACAAAUAGAAAUAAUGUGUCUUUAAGACUGCAUUAUAUGACUUAUGAAUGAGUCACUCAGCCCUAUGCUUCUGUUCCUGCUUCUGUUGCCUAUUUGAGUGUUUGUUUAAUAUCCUACUGAUUCUGUGGUCACCAAGCCCCAUGCAACCGUAAAAUGUUGGAUAAAGAACUUUCACAAAUCCGUCUGUUUUUAAACUUUGCUAUGCUGUAUUAAAGGCUUUGCGAUGUUUUUCAUUAGAACAGACUCUAUGCUAUUACUUCUACUUUAGUGUUAUUUACACUGUUCCAAACUGGCAGAUAGAUUACAAUAUAAUUUAACAGCACUUGCUUGUCAUGCAACAAUGAUUGUCUCUUGCACAAUGAUUUUACAUGAGGCCUAAUUCACAUGAUAUGCCUAAAAUACUUAUAUCCCCUAGGCUAAUAAAUAAAUCAUAUUUUUCCUUUCAAUUGUUUAAUUGCUCUAUAUCAUGAUAUUUCAAGUUUUCCCUUUGGAGCACAUGCAAAAGCGAUUUGGAGUUGUUGAGCGGGAGUGACAAAAUGUAUUACAAUUCCGUGCGCACACUCCAAAAAAUGUUUUUGUUUUUUCUACUUAGUCAGAAGAAGCUGUAAAUGGACCAUGUAACACGCAUAUAGACGCACAUACAAUAUUUGUUCAUCAACAUCUUUAUGUUUUCGUUAAUAAAAUAACGAUAAAAAAACACUUCCAAAUGUAGAUGUUUAUUUAAACUACUUCCCGCAAGCUCCACGACCACAGGUGAAGUACUCAGAAAAAACACCACUGAUCUCGAAAAGAGGCGUAACAUUCUGAGAAAUUCACAAUUCAGGGCAAUCAUAUCUACCUACGGGGGAAGGAUGGCCAGACACACAGGACGGUGAUUUCUACUAAGGAGGAGAGGAGGCCGUGCUGACCGAGAUGCAUGCUGGCCAUUUCGCAGUGAAGCGCAUGAUUGCCAAAAUCAACCUACGCUUCUUCUGACGGGGAAUUGUCAAGAAGGUGGACAGCUGGGCAAGUGAAAUAACCUUUUGUUUAUCAAUCACAGGGUUCAAUUCUCGGGCCGACUUUCUUCUCUGUAUACAUCAAUGAUGUCGCUCUUGCUGUUGGUGAUUCUCUGAUCCACCUCUACGCAGAUGACACCAUUCUGUAUACUUCUGGCUCUUCUUUGGACACUGUUAUCUAACCUCCAGACGAGCUUCAAUGCCAUACAACUCUCCUUCCGUGGCCUCCAACUGCUCUUAAAUGCAAGUAAAACUAAAUGCAUACUCUUCAACCGAUCGCUGCCCGCACCUGCCCGCCCGUCCAGCAUCACUACUCUGGACGGUUCUGACUUAGAAUAUGUGGACAACUACAAAUACCUAGGUGUCUGGUUAGACUGUAAACUCUCCUUCCAGACUCACAUUAAGCAUCUCCAAUUCAAAAUUAAAUCUAAAAUUGGCUUCCUAUUUUGCAACAAAGCAUCCUUCAUUCAUGCUGCCAAACAUACCCUUGUAAAACUGACCAUCCUAUCCAUCCUCGAUUUCGGCGAUGACAUUUACAAGAUAGCCUCCAACACUCUAUUCAACAAACUGGAUGCGGUCUAUCACAGUGCCAUCCAUUUUGUCACCAAAGCCCCAUAUACUACCCACCACUGCGACCUGUACGCUCUCGUUGGCUGGCCCUUGCUUCAUACUCGUCGCCAAACCCACUGGCUACAGGUCAUCUACAAGUCUUUGCUAGGUAAAGCCCCGCCUUAUCUCAGCUCACUGGUCACCAUAGCAGCACCCACCCGUAGCACACUCUCCAGCAGGUAUAUUUCACUGGUCACCUCCAAAGCCAAUUCCUCCGUUGGCCGCCUUUCUUUCCAGUUCUCUGCUGCCAAUGACUGGAACGAACUGCAAAAAUCACUGAAGCUGGAGACUCAUCUCCCUCACUAGCUUUAAGCACCAGCUGUCAGAGCAGCUCACAGAUCACUGCACCUGUACAUAGCCCAUCUGUAAAUAGCACAGCAUAGCCCAAUAUCAUACUGUAUUUAUUUAUUUAUUUAUCUUGCUCCUUUGCACCCCAGUAUCUCUACUUGCACAUUCAUCUUUUGCACAUCUAUCACUCCAGUGUUUAAUUGCUAUAUUGUAAUUACUUCGCCACCAUGGCCUAUUUAUUGCCUUACCUCCCUUACCUCAUUUGCACACACUGUAUAUAGACUUUUUCUACUGUAUUAUUGACUGUAUUUUUGUUUAUUCCAUGUGUAACUCUGUUGUAUGUGUCGAACUGCUUUGCUUUAUCUUGGCCAGGUCGCAGUUGUAAAUGAGAACUUGUUCUCAACUAGCCCACCUUGUUAAAUGAAGAUCAGUACACUGUGUAGCCUGCCAGAAGUUUGAGAGGGCGAAGACUGUGGCGCCGGAGUUGAAGCCCAUCAAAGUUGUUUCACCAUGGCACAUGAUCGGAAUGGCAACAGCUGGUGUCUGACGGUGACCGAUCACUUUACCAAGUGGGUGGAGGCAAUACCCAUUAAGAUCAGUAAAGGAAGAGACGAGACUGGCAAGGCCACCUCCAAGGCGAUGGUGGACAUCUGCAACACACAUGGUUCUCCUGAGGUCAUCUUGAGUGACCGAGGUCAUGAGCGCUGGAACAAGGUUUGGUGAAUGGACCAUCCAGACCCUCAAGGCUGCCAUGGACAAGUCCCUUGAUUGGUACCUGGAAGAGUGGGAGAAAAACCUGAAAGUAAUUCUCUUUGCACACAACAGCAGCAUCCAGGCCUCCACAAACAAAGAUAACUGAAACCCCACUUGAUGUGAUGGAAGUUGUCGAACCAGAUCUGAAUGCCUUCGAGGUCCAGUUCAGGCAUGGACUGAGAAGGAUGUGGUUUUUGACCAGGUGAGACUGAACAUGGACAAGGCGCAGGAAAAACAGAAGGAGAGCUACCGAAGCAGAAUCAAGAAGGGGACCAAGUGCUACGACAUCCGGGCAAUUUACUUGGCUUGGAAGAAGGACGAAAGGAAGGCGAGACCUGGGAAACCUCGCUGUUUUUUCGCUCCUAGCUGGGGUCACCAUCUGUUAAAGGUUACCUCAGCGGAAGUCAACAAUCUUCUACAGUUGGAGCAGUUUGACGGUCGACCACUGAAAGCAGUGACGCCCUACACUUCAGUGAAGCCCAAUAGACAAAGACCAUCGACUGUCCGAGCCCCCCCAGGAGGUAUCCCAUCCACCAGAACCAGUGAGUCCGGAUCAGUCUGAUUCUCUGUGCGCUGAGUCGGAGGGGGACCAGCUUGAGGAGCUGGAGGUUCUGCCCAACACCCAGACAUGGAUCCACCUGAUGUCCUCCAUUACCAACCACCCUCCAACUUUUCAUUAAAUAUUCUACAGCUACUGAUGUUGUCAUUAUCUGCUAAGAAAGUGAGAUAAUAUAUGAGAUAAAUCAAAUCGUAUUGGUCACAUACACGUGUUUAGCAGAUGUUAUUGAGGGUGUAGUGAAAUGCCUGAGUUUCUAGCUCCGACAGUGCAGUAAUAUCUAACAAGUAACAUCUAACAAUUUCACAACAUAUACACACAAAUCUAAGUAAAGGAAUGGAAUUAAGAAUAUAUAAAUGUAUGGAUGAGCAAUGUCAGUGGCAUAGACUAAGAUUCAGUAGAAUGGUAUAGAAUACAGUAUAUACAUAUGAGAUGGGUAAUGCAAGAUAUGUAAACAUUACAUUUUACAUUUUACAUUUAAGUCAUUUAGCAGACGCUCUUAUCCAGAGCGACUUACAAAAUGGUGCAUUCACCUUAUGAUAUCCAGUGGAACAACCACUUUACAAUAGUGCAUCUAAAUCUUUUAAGGGGGGGGGGUUAGAAGGAUUACUUUAUCCUAUCCUAGGUAUUCCUUAAAGAGGUGGGGUUUCAGGUGUCUCCGGAAGGUGGUGAUUGACUCCGCUGUCCUGGCGUCGUGAGGGAGCUUGUUCCACCAUUGGGGUGCCAGAGCAGCGAACAGUUUUGACUGGGCUGAGCGGGAACUGUGCUUCCUCAGAGGUAGCGGGGCCAGCAGGCCAGUGGUGGAUGAACGCAGUGCCCUUGUUUGGGUGUAGGGCCUGAUCAGAGCCUGAAGGUAUGGAGGUGCCGUUCCCUUCACAGC